rnacentral:lncRNA from 1 species
AUCUAAGUUUUGAUUAGGAUUUGGUUAGGAUUUAGGAUUUGUCUAAAAUUUGAUUAAGAUUUAAGAUUUCAUUUAGGUUUAAUUAGAUUUUGACUAAGAUUUGAUUAAGAUUUGAUUAGAAUUUGACUAGGAUUUGAUUAAGAUUUGAUUAGGAUUUGAUUAGAAUUUCACUAAGAUUUAUUAAGGUUGAUUUAGGAUUUAGAAUUUUAUUAGGAUUUCAUUAGGAUUUUACUUAGGAUUUGAUUAAGGUUCAUUAGGGAUUCAAUUAGGAUUUCAAUUAAAAUUUGACCUAAAAUUUGAUUAAUGUUUAUUAAGAUUUUAAUUAGAGUUAAGUCAAGAUU